rnacentral:rRNA from 1 species
GAUGAACGCUGGCGGCGUGCCUAAUACAUGCAAGUCGAGCGAACAGAUGAGGAGCUUGCUCCUCUGACGUUAGCGGCGGACGGGUGAGUAACACGUGGAUAACCUACCUAUAAGACUGGGAUAACUUCGGGAAACCGGAGCUAAUACCGGAUAAUAUAUUGAACCGCAUGGUUCAAUAGUGAAAGACGGUUUUGCUGUCACUUAUAGAUGGAUCCGCGCCGCAUUAGCUAGUUGGUAAGGUAACGGCUUACCAAGGCAACGAUGCGUAGCCGACCUGAGAGGGUGAUCGGCCACACUGGAACUGAGACACGGUCCAGACUCAUACGGGAGGCAGCAGUAGGGAAUCUUCCGCAAAGGGCGAAAGCCUGACGGAGCAACGCCGCGUGAGUGAUGAAGGUCUUCGGAUCGUAAAACUCUGUUAUUAGGGAAGAACAAAUGUGUAAGUAACUAUGCACGUCUUGACGGUACCUAAUCAGAAAGCCACGGCUAACUACGUG